GCGGGCUCCCCUUGUCCGCAUCGCCGCUCCUAGCAACCACCCUCCGCUCUCGCUGCCAGAUCCGGAAAUGUGUGGUCUCGGCCGUUUCCUCCUGAAUCCUUGAAGCGCCCACUCAGCCUCCGCCUGAUGCUCCAGCUCCCAGGCAGUUUGCUGAAAUCACCCUGCGGAAGGGCGUCAAGAGCUGGAGGACAGGUGGCCCUGGGCCUCCCACUCCCGCUCCCACCCUGUGGCGGCACCUGAUGCUUCGACAGCCGCCUCUUCCAGAACCAACGGACACGCUCGCUCCCCCCGGUUUCCAUGACACUGCACUUUCUCACGUCUCCUCCGGAUUUCUGACAGCUCGUUUCCUCGCUGGCUGGCGUCGCCUCCUCCUGGCUUCUCACCAUGGGCGUGACAGAGGCGCUGCCCUUGGCUCUUCCCCCAGCGGGUGCCCACCGCCUCACCACCUCCCUCCACUGCUGCUUCUCCGGCCUUGGCCACCCACGUUCCCUAAUCCUACGUGGCCAAGUUUUACAGAGCUUCUUGCCCCACCCCAUAAAAAAACAAGUCCUAAAUCACAGGCUGUCAGACCGGCGGGGCCUGGAGAGGUUCCUGUGUGAGCUGGGAAGCCCACCACGUACCUGAUGGGAUGUUGCUGGGGAGACUUAACAAUACCCCCUGAGCCUGGGCUACUACAGGUCUGUGAGAGGCAAGUCAGUGUAAGGCUAAGGGUAUAGGACUCUGUGAGCCCUCUGCCCAAGUUCAAAUCCUGCCUCUGCUACUUGCUGCUUCGAUCUCAGGCAAGUUCAUUCAUUUGUUCAUCGAUUUAUGUCGCAAAUGUUAAUUGAGCCCCAGUCUGUGUGCCAGACUGCUGAAAAUACAAACGGAAACACAAAGUGACUCCACACACUCGUGAUGUUUAGUUAGAGUCAUGGCGUUAAUCAAAUAAUAUCCAAACAAAUGCUAAACUGUGACUGUGACAAUGUGAGGGAGAGGUCCAGGGUGCCAUGAGAACCCAGCACAAGACGGUCUUAUCAGGGAGGUCAGCCACGGCUUCCUUGAGGACAUGACCUUUAAGCUCAGAUCGGAAGGAUGAGUGGGGUUACGAGGUGUGACGGGCUGAAUAAUGGCCCCGAAGAUGUCCACAUUCUGAUCCCCAGAAUCUAUGAAUAUGUUACCUUACAUGGCAAAAAAGAUGUGAUUCAGUUAAGGAUUUUUUUUUUUUUUGGCCGUGCUGCACGGCUUGCGGGAUCUUAGUUCCCCAACCAGGGAUUGAACCCAGGCCCCGGAAAUGAAAGCCUGCAGUCCUAACCACUGGACCACCAGGGAAUUCCCCCUGGUUAAGGAUCUUGAGAUGGGAGAUUCUCCUGGAUUAUCUGAGUGGACCCAGUGUAAUCACAGGUGUCCUUAUAAGAAAGAGGCAGAGGGCCAGAGAAGAUAUGACAAUAAAAGCAGAGGUGGGAGUAAUGGCAUUGCUGGAAGGGGGCCAUGAACCAAGGAAGCCUCUAGAAGCUGGAAAAGGAAAGGCAAUGGAUUCUACCCUAGAGCCUCUAGAAGGAAGGAAGCCUUGCCGACCCAUUUUGGACUUCUAACCCCAGAACCUGACCCAGUUUGGAAGAUGAAUUAUAUAUUCACCCUCCUUAGAGGGUCAAGGAGGAGGAAAUGUUGAUGUGAAAUACUGCAAAGAGGACAAGGAAGGUGAUCAGUGAGGGGCCAGGGGACAGCCCAGACCCUCUGUCUUCUGAACUGGAGGAUGAAGAAUCCAAGAGGAGACAGGAGAAUACAGGGAGAGAAAAAAAUAACCUGGAGAAGAGUUGAUGAAGAAGCGGGGAAAUAGUCAAUGAAGAA